UGGAAAGAAGGAGGCAAAGUAGAAAAAGACAGAAAAUGAAAGAUGGGUGGAGGAAAGGAAGGGUGAGGUUGAGAGAAGGAGGAGAAAGCAACAGAGAAGAAAUAAAAAGAAAACACAGCAGAGAUUAUAUUCUCUUGGCAUGGAUACUAUUGGUUAUUCAGAUAUUCACAUCCUUUUUGGAUAAACCCUGAUCCAAGUUUUAUUUGUGCGUGCAUCAAGCGAUUCUGUGUGUGAGUAAAAAGUAUUUCUCCAGAGAGGGGAGGAAUGUGGCCAAAUUCUGGGAACACUCCUCUUCAAAAUCACACUCCCAGGGUGAAGAGUUGUGAUGGCACCCCAAGGGCCGACCCGGAUGAGCUAGCGCCUAAAGCACAGCAGACAGGACCAGCUCUCCCAAUGGAGUGCAGAGCUGUGGAAUACAGUGUUUGUUCCAAGGACACUUGAAACCAAGCCGAGGACAGACUCCCGGCCUUCGUGAGCGCCUACCUGCAGGAGUUGGAGUUGAACUUUCUGCCCUGCCGCA